CCUACGGGGAGCAGCAGUGAGGAAUAUUGGUCAAUGGACGCAAGUCUGAACCAGCCAUGCCGCGUGCAGGAAGACGGCUCUAUGAGUUGUAAACUGCUUUUGUACGAGGGUAAACACCGAUACGCGUAUCUUUCUGCAAGUAUCGUACGAAUAAGGAUCGGCUAACUCCGUGCCAGCAGCCGCGGUAAUUCGGAGGAUUCAAGCGUUCUCCGGAUUUAUUGGGUUUAAAGGGUGCGUAGGCGGUCGGAUAAGUUAGAGGUGAAAUCCCGAGGCUCAACUUCGGAAUUGCCUCUGAUACUGGGGGGAUAGAGAGUGGUAGAGGUAGGCGGAAUGUAUGGUGUAGCGGGGAAAUGCUUAGAGAUCAUACAGAACACCGAUUGCGAAGGCAGCUUACCAGGCUACUUCUGACGUUGAGGCACGAAAGCGUGGGGAGCAAACAGGAUUAGAUACCCUAGUAGUC
rnacentral:rRNA from 1 species